CACGUAGGGUGCGAGCGUUGUCCGGAAUUAUUGGGCGUAAAGAGCUCGUAGGCGGUUUGGUAAGUCGGAUGUGAAAUCUCCAGGCUCAACCUGGAGGGGUCAUUCGAUACUGCCAUGACUAGAGUUCGGUAGGGGAGUGUGGAAUUCCUGGUGGAGCGGUGAAAUGCGCAGAGAUCAGGAGGAACACCCGUAGCGAAGGCGGCACUCUGGGCCGAUACUGACGCUGAGGAGCGAAAGCGUGGGGAGCGAACAGG
rnacentral:rRNA from 1 species